rnacentral:rRNA from 1 species
AAAUGAAUAGACGGGGGCUCGCACAAGCGGAGGAACAUGUGGUUUAAUUCGAUGAUACGCGAGGAACCUUACCCGGGCUUGAAAUGCAGAAGAAUAACUUGGAAACGAGUUAGCCAGCAAUGGCUUCUGUGUAGGUGCUGCAUGGUUGUCGUCAGCUCGUGCCGUGAGGUGUCGGCUUAAGUGCCAUAACGAGCGCAACCCCUAUCGUUAGUUACUAACAGGUAACGCUGAGGACUCUAGCGAGACUGCCACCGUAAGGUGUGAGGAAGGUGGGGAUGAUGUCAAAUCAGCACGGCCCUUACGUCCGGGGCGACACACGUGUUACAAUGGGAGGUACAGAGGGUAGCUACUUAGCGAUAAGAUGCGAAUCUCCAAAAGCCUCUUCCAGUUCGGAUUGGAGUCUGCAACUCGACUCCAUGAAGCUGGAUUCGCUAGUAAUCGCGCAUCAGCCAUGGCGCGGUGAAUACGUUCCCGGGCCUUGUACACACCGCCCGU